UAGCUAGUUGGUAGGGUAAAGGCCUACCAAGGCGACGAUCGGUAGCUGGUCUGAGAGGAUGGCCAGCCACACUGGAACUGAGACACGGUCCAGACUCCUACGGGAGGCAGCAGUGGGGAAUAUUGGACAAUGGGGGAAACCCUGAUCCAGCAAUGCCGCGUGUGUGAAGAAGGCCUGAGGGUUGUAAAGCACUUUCAGUGGGGAGGAGGAUUGGUAGUUUAAGAGACGAUCAAUUGGACGUUACCCACAGAAGAAGCACCGGCUAACUCCGUGCCAGCAGCCGCGGUAAUACGGAGGGUGCGAGCGUUAAUCGGAAUAACUGGGCGUAAAGGGUGCGUAGGUGGUUGUAUAAGUUAUCUGUGAAAUUCCUGGGCUUAACCUGGGCAGGUCAGAUAAGACUGUAUGACUCGAGUAUAGGAGAGGGUAGUGGAAUUUCCGGUGUAGCGGUGAAAUGCGUAGAGAUCGGAAGGAACACCAGUGGCGAAGGCGGCUACCUGGCCUAAUACUGACACUGAGGCACGAAAGCGUGGGGAGCAAACAGGAUUAGAUACCCUGGUAGUCCACGCUGUAAACGAUGUCAACUAGCUGUUGGUUAUUUAAAUAUAAUGAGUGGCGC
rnacentral:rRNA from 1 species